UCGGUGCCGCAGCUAACGCAUUAAGUACUCCGCCUGGGAAGUACGCUCGCAAGAGUGAAACUCAAAGGAAUUGACGGGGACCCGCUCAAGUAGCGUAGCAUGUGGUUUAAUUCGAAGCAACGCGAAGAACCUUACCUAAGCUUGACAUCCCAAAGACAUCUCCUUAAUCUGAGAGUUCCCUUCGGGGACAUUGGGGACAGGUGGUGCAUGGUU
rnacentral:rRNA from 1 species